rnacentral:rRNA from 1 species
AAAUCAACAUUAUAACGGCGUAAAGAGUGGUCACAUGCUAUCCAAGUAACUAAGAUUAAAAAGCAACUGAGCUGUCAUAAGCCCAAGAUGCCCAUAAAACCGACUAUCAAAGAAGAUCUUAGACAAACGAUUAAUUGAACUCCACGAAAGCCAGGGCCCAAACUGGGAUUAGAUACCCCACUAUGCCUGGCCCUAAAUCUUGAUGCUCCACACCUACUUGAGCAUCCGCCCGGGAACUACGAGCACAAACACUUAAAACCCUAAGGACUUGGCGGUGUCCCAAACCCACCUAGAGGAGCCUGUUCUGUAAUCGAUGAUCCACGAUAUACCUGACCAUUCCUUGCCAAUCAGCCUAUAUACCGCCGUCGCCAGUCCACCCACCCUGAAGGCUCAACAGU